GUAGGUGGCAAGCGUUGUCCGGAACUAUUGGGCGUAAAGCGCGCGCAGGUGGUUCUUUAAGUCUGAUGUGAAAGCCCCCGGCUCAACCGGGGAGGGUCAUUGGAAACUGGGGAACUUGAGUGCAGGAGAGGAAAGUGGAAUCCCACGUGUAGCGGUGAAAUGCGUAGAUAUGUGGAGGAACACCAGUGGCGAAGGCGACUUUCUGGCCUGUAACUGACACUGAGGCGCGAAAGCGUGGGGAGCAAACAGGGAUUAGAUACCCUGGUAGUCCACGCCGUAAACGAUGAGUGCUAAGUGUUGGGGGGGUUUCCCGCCCCUCAGUGCUGCAGCUAACGCAUUAAGCACUCCGCCUGGGGAGUACGGCCGCAAGACUG
rnacentral:rRNA from 1 species